GAUGAGCGCUGGCGGCGUGCUUAACACAUGCAAGUCGAACGAAGCACCUCUCCCGAAGAUUGACACAGCUUGCUGUAGAUUGAUUCAUUUGAGGUGACUGAGUGGCGGACGGGUGAGUAACGCGUGGGUAACCUGCCUCAUAGAGGGGGACAACAGUUGGAAACGACUGCUAAUACCGCAUAGUAAGAAGAAUUCGCAUGUUUUCUUCUUGAAAGAUUUAUCGCUAUGAGAUGGACCCGCGUCUGAUUAGCUAGUUGGUAAGGUAACGGCUUACCAAGGCGACGAUCAGUAGCCGGCUUGAGAGAGUGAACGGCCACAUUGGGACUGAGACACGGCCCACACUCCUACGGGAGGCAGCAGUGGGGAAUAUUGCACAAUGGGGGAAACCCUGAUGCAGCGACGCCGCGUGAGUGAAGAAGUAUUUCGGUAUGUAAAGCUCUAUCAGCAGGGAAGAUAAUGACGGUACCUGACGAAGAAGCCCCGGCUAACUACGUG
rnacentral:rRNA from 1 species